rnacentral:ncRNA from 1 species
AUUCCAGAGGUGAUAUAGCUAGCCUAUAUCACUCCGGCAGCAAGCGAAGGUGUCAUUGACGCCCGUGGUAUAGUCCCCCGGCUAUGCCACGAAUUUUUUUU